CGUGGGGAACCGUGCCCCACUAGUCUGGGAUACCACUUGGAAACAAGGUGCUAAUACCGGAUAAGAAAGCGGAUCGCAUGAUCAGCUUUUAAAAGGCGGCGUAAGCUGUCGCUAUGGGAUGGCCCCGCGGUGCAUUAGCUAGUUGGUAAGGUAAAGGCUUACCAAGGCGAUGAUGCAUAGCCGAGUUGAGAGACUGAUCGGCCACAUUGGGACUGAGACACGGCCCAAACUCCUACGGGAGGCAGCAGGC
rnacentral:rRNA from 1 species